rnacentral:rRNA from 1 species
AUUGAACGCUGGCGGCAUGCCUUACACAUGCAAGUCGAACGGUAACAGGUCUUCGGAUGCUGACGAGUGGCGAACGGGUGAGUAAUACAUCGGAACGUGCCUAGUAGUGGGGGAUAACUACUCGAAAGAGUGGCUAAUACCGCAUGAGAUCUACGGAUGAAAGCAGGGGAUCGCAAGACCUCGUGCUACUAGAGCGGCCGAUGGCAGAUUAGGUAGUUGGUGGGAUAAAAGCUUACCAAGCCGACGAUCUGUAGCUGGUCUGAGAGGACGAUCAGCCACACUGGGACUGAGACACGGCCCAGACUUCUACGGGAGGCAGCAGUGGGGAAGUUUGGACAAUGGGCGAAAGCCUGAUCCAGCAAUGCCGCGUGCAGGAUGAAGGCCUUCGGGUUGUAAACUGCUUUUGUACGGAACGAAAAGCCCCGGGUUAAUACCCUGGGGUCAUGACGGUACCUGCAGAAAAAGCACCGGCUAACUACGUGCCAGCCGCCGCAGUAA